GGAGUUUGGACCGUGUCUCAGUUCCAAUGUGGGGGACCUUCCUCUCAGAACCCCUACCGAUCGAGGGCUUGGUGGGCCGUUACCCCGCCAACUACCUAAUCGGACGCAUCCCCAUCCAUGGCCGGUAAACCUUUAGUCCUCGUUAGAUGUCUGCAAAGGACCCCAUAGGGCAUUAAUCCGCUUUUCAACGGGCUAUUCCCUAGCCAUGGGCAGGUUGGAUACGCGUUACUCACCCGUGCGCCGGUCGCCGACAGAAUUAGCAAGCUAACUCCUCGAUGCCCCUCGACUUGCAUGUGUUAAGCCUGUAGCUAGCGUUCAUC
rnacentral:rRNA from 1 species